rnacentral:tRNA from 3 species
GCUGUGAUGGCCGAGUCGUUAAGGCGAGUGAUUUGAAUUCGUUCAAAUAUCACUUGGUGUUUCACCGCGUAGGUUCAAAUCCUGCUCGCAGCG